UUGCAGCAACCCCGAGAGGAGACUGAUGGUGAAAAUUUUUGGUUUGUUUUUGUAUUUAUGCGUGGAGGAACUGAAGCUUGGAGAACAAGAGUGAAUUCUGGCCCAAGGUCACACAGAUGGUUGGGAUCAGGCUUCCCAAUUGUCAAACUCAUGGGAGAAGAGAGAAAACAGAAAAGACAACAGAAAAAUAAAAAAUGGGACAAGAACCCUUGGAGGAAAGUACACCUGGUAUCAUCACCAUCUAACAGAUAACAAAAAUGGAGCAUUGGAGCAGUUAGAGUUGGACCGAGUAAAUGAAAUUUAUUGCCAACAGAGCUCACAUUCAUGGACCUACACUGAUAGAACUUGGAGGAGUCCACAUCAAGCCUUCUUCAUAGUAAUUGAUGAAGAAAUUGGGGUCCAAAGAGCCAAGUCGUCAUUGGGACUGUAGACUGGGAAACCGAGCCUUGGUAGAACUCUUCAAAGUUGCUGAUGUGCCUUUCCGUGUGAGUACAAUGAACUCUUAUCUACCUUUUUGCUUUCAUUUUCUUGCUGGAAUGUGUCCUUUGUAAACAGUGAUGAAUCCAAGACCCACCCACAUGUGGUCCAAGAAAAGCCCAAAGCCUGGGAGGCAGAGAGUCCACAUGACCAGCCAGAUGCUGCCUUGUCUGCCUCAGAGGAACUGCCCUUACCAUGUCUAACAGGAAGAACUUCUAGGAAACCACCAAACGCCUAUAAAAAAGGGGGUCAACCACUGUGCAACCACCACAUAGAAGUACGUGACUCACCUUUCAUUCAGUACCUCCCUUCAAGGAAAGCCCUGUCUCCUUGUCCUUGGGCUGGGAUCACACAAAGUUCUUGGGAUGACCCUGGCUCUCCCGCGCCAGCCGCUCUGCUGCCAAGUGCAAGCAUUCGCUCCCAGAUGCUUCGCCCAGUUCUUUGCAAAUGUCAUCCAAUCAGCGUCCAGGUGUUCACGGCUCAUCACUGGCUUACUGCUCUGGUCUACAUACCUUGGGACAUUACUGUUUAUGCAGAUAUAAAAAAAAAGAAAAACAAAAGAAAGAAAGAACGGCAGCAUCACAGAAUGUGAAUCAGAAUAUUAGUCUGUGGUACUGGGAGAGAAAAAGAAGAUUCCCCAGAGAGGAUGAAGACCAAACAGACUGCAGACCUGCCAUCUCUCUACACUGCACUUGGAUUGGCCAUUGGCUGUAUGCACCCGGGAAAAAAAUUCAGAGGACCAUGCUGUUGUGAUAGCUGACCUAAAGAAGACAUUCUGGAGAGCACAUGAGUUUGAUUUUUACAAAUGACUUAAUAAUCUGGGGGACCAAGCCAGGGCUGCAGAGGCUGGAAGAGCCCCCGCCAGCGGUGAGCAGAGGAGGAGGAGACCCAGAGUCAGGGGUGGUAGGGGAACGGGGUUUCCCAGGCCUCUUUUCACAGCAAUUAGAGGUCUGUGUUCUCCUUGAGGCAGGGGCGUAACUCCCACAAGUGUUAAUGAGAUUUAACGAAGAGAAGGCGAGACUCCAGAGCUGCAUUUCCAGUCGGGGCUUCCACAGCAGCAGAAGAGGACAGAGUUCUGCUGCUUCCAGCCGGACCUGGCAGACAGUCAUGGAAGCCUGGACCUUAGCAUGUUGCCUUCAUUAGCAAUUCCACACUCCAGCCGGCAUCGUGUGAAGAGUCCCCAACCUGUGGUCGCCUAGCCCCUUCUACGAACCUUGUGAAGAGAAGCUGCCUGUGCCUUGGGCUAGAAAGUUCUCUCACAGUCUAUCCAGUGCUUAAGCUCGCCUGCCUAGGUUUACAUCCCAGCUCUGCUGAGUUGCCAGCUAAGCCUAGUUUCCUCCUCCAAAAAAUGGAGAUAAUAAAUGGCACCUACUUCACUUGCGGAUCUAAUGAAAGUCAAGAGCUUAGCACAAUGUUUGACCAUAUAAAGUACCUCUGAGUGAUGAUGAUGAUGAAUUUGGGCCUAGAAUUGACAUCUUAGUCAUAUGAGGCAGAACCUAGUUCUAAGGAAACACACCUCAGUGCCAUGAUAGAAACAUUUCAUGAUGAAAACCUAAGCAGUUGUGCAAUGAAAAUCCCUGUCAUUUACAACAAUUCCCCCACCCGCCACGUACUUGGGAUAAAUUAGAACCAGGAUGGGCCAAGUUUCUCGUCUCGCCUCCUCUUUUCCUCAGUGGCAACCGUGUGAUUUAUGGCUCUGACGGGAGAGCCAACCAAACUCAGUUGUUUCAGCUGACUGUCCCCGUGAGUUUUCAGGUUGAUGUGAAAUCCAAUGGGGUGUGAACUGAAACCCAAGAUCUCCUGAAAGCCCCAUGCACUAAGCUCAGUAAGGGACCAAACCAAACCAAACCAAAGCUCUCUCCCUCUUGCCUGGCACUCCUGGAGCUCACAAAAAGCCUGCCACUUGUGAGCCUGUGUGCCUGGAAGGGUCUGCUGCACCUGGCUGGGGGCCCUGGGCCGUUGUUUUCCUGGCAGCAGCAAGGAGGCAGGUCCUCUGCUCACUCCUGGAGCUGGCCCCAUACCAGCGACCUCAGAAACCAGGCAGGCUUUUGUCCUGGGGUCUCCUAGGGGUUGGUUACACAGAGAGAGUGAGGCUUUGUUGGAAGACUCUCAGAGGCCUGGCCAGGUUUUCCUCUCACAGCCAAGAAGCAGGUUCUAGUUCUUUCCAAACCCUUGAUACCUUCUAAACUGAAAAGCGGCUGCCCACUCAGAAUUUGGGCUAGGGCAUGGAGAUGCUAAAAACCUCAUCUUUUAAAAGGGAAUUGUUACUGUCUCUCUGAAAAGACUGCAGGGUUUCUAGGAGAUUCUGAAAUGAUGUAUACAGCUAGAGUCUAAAAAGGUGGAAGGAGAGGUUUCUGGGUAGGGGGUUAAAAGUGUAAGCUCUGGAGGCAGGCAGACCUGGGAGCAAGUCCCAGCUCAUACUCUUCAUAGCUGAGUGACCUUGAGAAAGUCACUCAAUCCCUCUGAGGUUCUCUUUGUUCUUUUGCUCCCUGCUCACUCUUCAUCUUACCCUGUCUAGCCCAACGUUUCUGGUAGUUCAUGUUCCAGUCAGAAGAAAAGACCAGUGAGAACUGG
rnacentral:lncRNA from 1 species